AUUCACAAGGUGGACAUUGAACAACUACUAACUUGGAGCUUUCAAUCAUUAAAAAAAAAAAAAUUUUCCAGAAGUUACGAGAAAUUGCUGGCUAAGUGAGCAGAUAGUGCGGACUUCCUGGGGUACACAGAUGAUCAACACACCUAAUAAUCACCACUCCAUCUGAGUAACAGAACAAAGCUCCUUGGCAAAGGUUUUCAAUCUUCAAGUUUUCUUUCCCACCCCUCCCCUUCCCUGCCUUCUCUCCCUUCCCUGCCUUCUCUGAUACACUGUCUUAUCAAGUAUCUCAGGCUUACCUCACACAUGUUGUGUAGCCCAGACUGGCCUCAAGCUCGUGAUCCUCUUGUCUCAGCCUCAAGUACAGAGUUGCCUCACAGGCCCUCACCACCUCUGACCUCAACAUUUAUUUAGGGGGGAAAUGGGUUUCAAGUCCCUGGAGCAUCUGCUAACUGUCAACUAUCGACAUGUAUUGAAAAGGCAUAAUAAAAUUAAAAUGCUUAAAGGAUAUUAGCGAAUCAUCAACAGUGGAAAUCAUCUGGCUCAAGGCUUAGAAGUUCCUAACUGAUCAGUAGAUUACAAUUCAAUUCAAAAGAGUUUCUUCAGGGCUGAAAGGUUUGGAAGAGCCAGAAGCUGAACCAGAAGCCUCAGAACAUAUCACAGCUUUGAGGGACAGGCCAUAAGAAAAGGUGCAGCUUUCUCAACACAUCAAAGUUCAAAGAGUGGAUGGAGACCAAGCCCAGCAACAAGAAGAUAAAUCUCAAAUGGAGAACCAGUGCCUCCCCAAGAAAGUUCCAGGGUUCUGUUCCUUCCGGUAUGGACUGGCUAUCCUUCUGCACUUCUGUAACAUUGCCAUCAUGGCCCAGAGAGUGUGCCUGAACCUCACCAUGGUAGCCAUGGUGAACAACACAGGGUCACCCCAUUUAUCUAACGAAUCUGUAGUGGAGAUGUUGGACAAUGUAAAGAACCCUGUGUAUUCCUGGAGUCCUGAUAUCCAAGGGCUUAUUCUCAGUUCUGUCUUCUUUGGUAUGGUCGUGGUUCAGGCUCCUGUCGGGUACCUAUCUGGAAUAUACCCAAUGAAGAGAAUAAUUGGGUCUUCACUGUUCCUCAGCUCUUUGAUGUCCUUGCUCCUCCCACCUGCUGCACAAGUCGGAGCUGCUUUAGUCAUUGUGUGUCGAGUACUCCAGGGAAUAGCCCAGGGAACAGUGUCAACAGGCCAGCAUGAAAUAUGGGUCAAAUGGGCACCUCCCUUAGAACGAGGCAGACUUACCUCUAUGACUCUAUCAGGGUUUGUAAUGGGACCAUUUAUUGUCCUGCUUGUGAGUGGCUUCAUCUGUGAUCUUCUGGGCUGGCCCAUGGUCUUCUACAUCUUUGGUAUUGUUGGGUGUGUUCUGAGUCUUUCCUGGUUCUUUCUAUUCUUUGAUGACCCCAAGGACCACCCGUAUAUGAGCAGCAGUGAGAAGGACUACAUCAUAUCCUCCCUCAUGCAACAGGCCAGCUCAGGCAGACAAUCCCUGCCAAUCAAAGCUAUGCUUAAAUCUCUUCCACUCUGGGCCAUUAUCCUCAAUAGCUUUGCUUUCAUAUGGUCGAACAGUCUCCUGGUUACAUACACGCCGACAUUUAUCAGCACUGUGCUUCAUGUUAAUGUUAGAGAGGGAGUUUCUGUCCCGUGAUCUUCAUCAUGUGCUUGCUCUACCUGAGCUACAACUUCUACAGCACCGUCAUUUUCCUGACACUUGCCAACUCAACACUUAGCUUUUCCUACUGCGGACAACUUAUCAAUGCCUUGGAUAUUGCUCCCAGAGACUUGCUAUAGUCAGCCCUGGCCUCAGUGGUGCUGUCUGGCAGCGCCCAGCAGCAUGUAAGAUAUUAUGGAUUUCUUAAGGCAGUCACAGCUUUAAUUGGAAUGUUUGGGGGCCUGAUUUCUUCAACUCUUGCUGGGUUGAUUCUUAAUCAGGAUCCGGAAUAUGCUUGGCAUAAAAUUUUCUUCUUGAUGGCAGGCAUUAAUGUGACAUGCCUGGUUUUCUAUUUUCUAUUUGCUAAAGGAGAAAUUCAGGACUGGGCUAAAGAAAUAAAAACCACACGACUGUGAAGGGAAGACAUGUGAAAAUGGCAUUGAUAACCUUUCACUGGACAAGAAAGACAACUUGAGAAAAAUCUUCUAGCCUAGACUAAUGUCUCUGAAGUGUUGGACUCUUCAGUGACAUCUCUCUGUGUUUUGUUUCCUUUUUCUACAAAAGUUAGUAGAAAAAGGAGAAGCUGAGAAGCCUGAGGUCAGCAUCCUUAUAGAAAGAAAGAGGAUCCUUCAUGGGACUGCAGUCCUGGGAGAGUCGUGAACACCUGGAGACAGGUAGCAUGAGGCUCCUGAACGCUCAGUCGCACCCACUUCUGUCUGAGUGAUUCUUUUGCACUGUGUAUUGUAUGUAACAAGUUAUACUUCUGACUUUAAAGGAGGAUUUAUUUAUGUCUUCCUCUAUGAUCUAAUAAACAAACAUAAGACAAAAUUUUACUCUACAACUUCAGGAAAAGUA